GUCCACGCCGUAAACGAUGUCUACUUGGAGGUUGGUGUCUUGAACACUGGCUUUCGGAGCUAACGCGUUAAGUAGACCGCCUGGGGAGUACGGUCGCAAGAUUAAAACUCAAAUGAAUUGACGGGGGCCCGCACAAGCGGUGGAGCAUGUGGUUUAAUUCGAUGCAACGCGAAGAACCUUACCUACUCUUGACAUCCAGAGAACUUAGCAGAGAUGCUUUGGUGCCUUCGGGAACUCUGAGACAGGUGCUGCAUGGCUGUCGUCAGCUCGUGUUGUGAAAUGUUGGGUUAAGUCCCGCAACGAGCGCAACCCUUAUCCUUGUUUGCCAGCACUUCGGGUGGGAACUCCAGGGAGACUGCCGGUGAUAAACCGGAGGAAGGUGGGGACGACGUCAAGUCAUCACGGCCCUUACGAGUAGGGCUACACACGUGCUACAAUGGCAUAUACAGAGGGCAGCAAGACCGCGAGGUGGAGCGAAUCCCACAAAGUAUGUCGUAGUCCGGAUUGGAGUCUGCAACUCGACUCCAUGAAGUCGGAAUCGCUAGUACUCGUGGAUCAGAAUGCCACGGUGAAUACGUUCCCGGGCCUUGUACACACCGCCCGUCACACCAUGGGAGUGGGCUGCACCAGAAGUAGAUAGCUUAACCUUCGGGAGGGCGU
rnacentral:rRNA from 1 species